rnacentral:rRNA from 1 species
AAAUUGAAGAGUUUGAUCAUGGCUCAGAUUGAACGCUGGCGGCAGGCCUAACACAUGCAAGUCGAGCGGUAGCACAGAGAGCUUGCUCUCGGGUGACGAGCGGCGGACGGGUGAGUAAUGUCUGGGAAACUGCCUGAUGGAGGGGGAUAACUACUGGAAACGGUAGCUAAUACCGCAUAAUGUCGCAAGACCAAAGUGGGGGACCUUCGGGCCUCAUGCCAUCAGAUGUGCCCAGAUGGGAUUAGCUAGUAGGUGGGGUAACGGCUCACCUAGGCGACGAUCCCUAGCUGGUCUGAGAGGAUGACCAGCCACACUGGAACUGAGACACGGUCCAGACUCCUACGGGAGGCAGCAGUGGGGAAUAUUGCACAAUGGGCGCAAGCCUGAUGCAGCCAUGCCGCGUGUGUGAAGAAGGCCUUCGGGUUGUAAAGCACUUUCAGCGGGGAGGAAGGCGUUAAGGUUAAUAACCUUGUCGAUUGACGUUACCCGCAGAAGAAGCACCGGCUAACUCCGUGCCAGCAGCCGCGGUAAUACG